GACGAACGCUGGCGGCGUGCUUAACACAUGCAAGUCGAACGGAAAGGCCCUGCUGUUGUGGGGUGCUCGAGUGGCGAACGGGUGAGUAACACGUGAGUAACCUGCCCUUGACUUUGGGAUAACUUCAGGAAACUGGGGCUAAUACCGGAUAGGAGCUCCUGCUGCAUGGUGGGGUUUGGAAAGUUUCGGCGGUUGGGGAUGGACUCGCGGCUUAUCAGCUUGUUUGUGUGGUAGUGGCUUACCAAGGCUUUGACGGGUAGCCGGCCUGAGAGGGUGGCCGGCCACAUUGGGACUGAGAUACGGCCCAGACUCCUACGGGAGGCAGCAGUGGGGAAUAUUGCACAAUGGGCGGAAGCCUGAUGCAGCAACGCCGCGUGCGGGAUGACGGCCUUCGGGUUGUAAACCGCUUUCGCCUGUGACGAAGCGUGAGUGACGGUAAUGGGUAAAGAAGCACCGGCUAACUACGUG
rnacentral:rRNA from 1 species